CCUUCUUCCCGUUUCUUUUCUCUCCCGAAGCUUCCUCUCCUCCUUUCUUUCUUCUUCUCCCCUUCCCCUCUUCUCUCAUGAUCACAAGAAAAAUCCCACACCAGAGCUCGGGAGAAGAACCGACGGCGGAGAGGGAGCUCAGGAGGAGAACCCAUGGCGGAAAGGAAGCUCGGGAGGGGAAAGGCCCAAGGCCGGCGAUGCCCGUGGCCCGGCCCCCUCCUCCUCUUUUCCAUGAACACAAGGGAGCGGUCCCUCGCCGGGGUGCUCGGGAGGCCCAGGCCGAGACCGGCAGCACCCACAGCGGCCAGCCCUCGCCUUCUUGCUGCGGCGGAGAUAUGCACAUGUGAGUCCCCCCCCUUCCUCCCUUCCUCCCUCUCCCUCUCUGUUAUCCCAAGCAAACUGUAAACCAGGAGGGAAGAAUGCUGGAAAGAGGAAAAAUAAGGUGGUCAGGAGCUUAUAUAGUUUCGGGGAGGAGUUACAAGCACAUUCUCCGGCGACACAGACGUCCGUUCAGGGAACCCGGUCUCUGAGGAAGGAGGAGAAUAGUGAGGAAGGAACAGUGACGUGGGUUCAGUUAAGGAUUUUAGAGGGUUCGACGACUGAGCCACCGUACAUCAAUUUCUCCCCUCCCUUCGAAGUAACGGAUAGUGGCCUACAGAUGGGCUGCCAACUUUGGUCCAGAUCGGCCCAUCUGGUGGCCCAAUACUCACAGCACGUGCAUGUAGUGGCAUAUGGUACAUGUCAGCAUGCACCUGGCAUUGCCAGCAGGGACCAGCAUGCAACAACACGUGCUUGGCAUGUUGUCUUCCUUUGUGUUGGACUUUUGCUGAUUUUAAUUAAAUCAGUCUUAUAAUUUGGCUUUGCAUCAUUUAUAACGACUACUUUCCUAAGGCUCUUUUUCUUUUUGGAAGAGCUUGAAGAACAUCGUAUCUGGCUUUACAAUUGAGGUCGAAUUUUAUGCAACAGCUUAUAUAGAGUAUGUGGUCAUGUGGUUCCAUUAUGCUCUUUAGAAUUAAGGAUCACCCUUUCUUCCAUUUCACCCUUUUCUAUUGUUAUAGAUAAUGUUAUGCAUACGCUAUUCGUUGUCUUGGCCCAAUAUUGUCCCUAAAAAUUUCAGGAAAUGAAGUGCCUAUUAUAGCAUUUGCGUCCUGAUAGAGAAAAAUGUACCAUUUUGCUCUAUCCAACUUUUUCUUCUGGAGUUUCGUCUUUAUUACCAGAAUGUUCGUUAGAUGCUUGUCUUUUUUCUCAAUUGAUCUAGCAUAUUCAGAUUGAUUACCACUUCAUGUUGCUUCCCUAGUUUAUUUUGUUGAAAGCAUUAUUUUUUGAAGUCUCACACUAUCAGCUUGCGAGUCCCUCUACUGAAUAAUGAAUGUCCUCUCAGGGAUUUAUGCCUUUAUAUAGAAAUCUGGUGGAUAA
rnacentral:lncRNA from 1 species